CUUUCCAACCUGGCUGUCUCAAAGGGAACCAGAUUAUGCAAGGCUUUGUGUUCCAGCUUAGGCUAAACCAAGAACAACUUUAUCCUAAGGUCAAGAGGAAAUAUUUGAUAGGUUCUAAAGAAGGGAGGAGGAAACUGAGACCCAGGCAGAAGAAUUUGUUCUUCAAACUGCGAAAGCAGAGCUACCCCAAUUCAUCCACACACAUAGUAUUUCAGAGAAAAAAAGAAAACCCUAUGAUGGCAAGCAGUCAUAAGGAUGAAUGACAGAGUGGCUUGAUC
rnacentral:lncRNA from 1 species